AAGUCUUGACAUCCUUCUGACCGGUACUUAACCGUACCUUCUCUUCGGAGCAGGAGUGACAGGUGGUGCAUGGUU
rnacentral:rRNA from 1 species